ensembl:lncRNA
CUUGCUGCCAUGUCUGCUUCCAAUUUCCAUUCCGCAACUGUUCUUCACAGCAAUCUGUAUGGCUCCUUUACUCUCUAUACAUGAAAUUGUACGUCAAUUUGGUUUGUUAGACAGCAUGUCUGUCUUCAACCUCAAUAGAUACUGGAUAAAACACUGCUUUUUUUUGCCUGUUGCUAUUGGCAAUUAGGCCAGGCUGUCAUCUAUGGUCCUAUCAGCAGUGAUAAGUGUGUGAGAGAUUGGGGAGAUCACAUGAAUAAUUCUUUCCAAACAUCGAAGGGGUCAGAUUCCUGGAGAAGACUCUCUGAGGCAAGAGUUUGUCUGUUGAACAAAAUGCUAUUGUGGACAUUUGUGAACAAUUCUUUGUUGGACUGACACCCUUCAUGAUAACAACACUGAAGAGGCCAGGAAUAUAAGUGGUAUACCUCAAUAUAAUGAAGGCAAUUUAGAGCAAGCCCAUAAGGAACAUCAACCUAAGCAAAGAAACACAAAUCAUUUUCACUAAAAUCAGGAACAAGACAAGGAUGUCUACUCUCUCCAUAUGUACUCAUUAAAGUGCUUGAAGUUUUAGCUAGAGCAAUAAGACAACUGAAAAGAUCAAGGGGAUUACAAAUUCAAAAGGAAGACAUCAAAGUAUCUUCAUCUGUAGACGAUAAGAUUAUAUAUAUAUAUAUGUAUAGAUUAUAUAUAUAAGUGACCCUAAAAAUCCACCAGGCAAUUUCAACUGCUGAUAAACACCUUCAGCAAAGUAGCAUGAUACAAAAUUACACACAAAAAUUAAUAACCUUCCCAUAUACAAAUGAAAAACAGAUUGAGAAAGAAAUGGGGGAAACAACACUUCACAAUAACUUCAUAAACAAUCCUGUUUGUAACUCUAACCAAGCAUGUGAAAGACCUCCAUAAUAAAAGUUUUAAGAUAUUGAAAAAAGAAAUUGAAGAAGGUAUCAGAAGAUGGAAAGGUCUCUCAUGCUCAUGAAUUGGUAGAAUUAACAUAGUAAAAAUGGGCCCCUUCUAAAAACAAUCUUCAACACAACCCUCAUCAAAAUUUCAACACAAUUCUACAUGGAUCUUGAAGGAGCAAUUUGCAGUUUCAUAGGGCAGCGCGUAUGCGCGCGCGCGCACACACACACACACACACACACACACACACACACACACCCCAAACCAAGCAAGCAAGUAAACAAACGAGGAUAGGUGAGACAAUACUAAAUAAUAAAAGGACUGUAGGAGGUAUCACCAUCCCUGAUCUCAAAUAAUACUACAAAACUAUAGUAAUAAAAAAAAAAAAAAACCAUGGUGUUGGCUUAAAAACAGACAUAAUGAUCAGUGAAAUCAAAUUGAAGACCUAGACAUAAGUCUAUAUACCCACAGGCAUCUAAUGUUUGAUAAAGAAGCCAAAAAUACACACUGGAAAGAAAAGAGCAUCUUCAACAAACUAUGCUGAUUAAACUGGAUAAUUACAUGUUAUCGAAUAGGUCCCUAAUUAUUAUCCUGCACAAAACUCAAGUCCAAGUGGAUCAAAGACCUCAACAUAAAAACCACAUACACUAAACCUGAUAGAAAAGAAAGUGGAGGAUAAUCUUGAACCCAUUGGCACAGGAAAAGACUUUCUUAACAGAACACCAAUAUCACAUGUAUUAAGAAGACAAUAAAUGGGACCUUAUGAAACCAAGUAGCUUCUGUACAGCAAAGGACACCGCUAUUUGAAUAAAGCAACAGCCAAAGAAUGGGAAAAAAUUUUAACAACUACACUUAUGAUUCAAACCUAAUAUGUAAAAUAUAUGAAGAUCUCAAAAAACUGGACAUCCAAAAAACAAAUAACCCAAUUAAAAAUGGGGUGGUGGUACACAAGUUUAAUCCCAGCACUCAAGAGGCAGAGGCAGGCAGAUCUCAGAGUUUGAGAACAGCCUGGUAAAGGAAAUUCAAAACUACUUCAAGAUUUCAUUUUAUACCAGUCAUAAUGCCCCCAAGAUCAAUAAAAUAAUUGACAGCUGAUGCUGGAGGGGAUUUGGGUUAAGGAAAAUAAUCAUCAGUUGCCAGUGCGAGUGCAAAAACCACCAUGGAAAUCAGUGUGGUUGUUAUUCAGCAAGUUGGGAAUAGAUCUACCUCAAGACCCAGCUGUACCACUCUUGUUCAUAUACCCAAAGGAUGCUUCAUCCUAAUAUAGAGACACUUGCUCAACCAUGUUCAAUGCUUAUAUAUUCAUAAUAGGCAGAAAUUGGAAUCAGUCUAGAUAUCCGUCAACAGAUGAAUGCAUAAUGAAAAUGUUGUAGUUUACACAAUGGGAUAUUACUCAGCUGUUAAAAAAAUUAUAUCAUGAACUUCACAUGUAAAUGAAUAGAGCUAGAAAAAAAUUAUCCUGAAUGAGGUAGCCCAGGCCUCCAAAGACAAAUAAAUAUGGUAUGCAUUCAAUUAUACAUGUAUAUUAGCUUUCAAUGAGCAUGCUAUAAUCCAUAUAACCACAGAGGUUAGGAAUAAGUAAGAGAGCAGGGUGAGGGGAGGAUUUCCAAAGAAAAGGGGAAAUAGAAAGUAUAGCUGUAGUGAGAUGGGAAAGGGAGUCUGGAAUGGGAAGGUUAAACUGAGAAGGAGAGAGUAUGGGAGUGAUAGGGGAAUAUUUGGAGUGACAGCUUAACUUAGGUCUGUAGGGUUGUGUGUCCUGUAUCAGC